rnacentral:tRNA from 1 species
GGGCCUGUAGCUCAAUUGGUAGAGCGUCCCGCUCGCAGCGGGAAGGUUGGGAGUUCAAGUCUCCUCAGGUCCACUA